UACGUAGGUGGCGAGCGUUGUCCGGAAUUACUGGGCGUAAAGGGCGUGUAGGCGGCUUUUUAAGUCAGACGUGAAAGCCCCGGGCUUAACCCGGGAACUGCGUUUGAAACUGAAGGGCUUGAGGACCGGAGAGGGCAGUGGAAUUCCCAGUGUAGCGGUGAAAUGCGUAGAUAUUGGGAGGAACACCAGUGGCGAAGGCGACUGCCUGGACGGCCCCUGACGCUGAGGCGCGAAAGCUAGGGGAGCAAACGGG
rnacentral:rRNA from 1 species